rnacentral:rRNA from 1 species
AGAGCGAACGCUGGCGGCAUGCUUAACACAUGCAAGUCGCACGGCUGGGGUAACUCAGCAGUGGCGGACGGGUGAGUAACGCGUAGGUAUCUAUCUCCGGGUGGGGGACAACUGUGGGAAACUACAGCUAAUACCGCAUGAAACCCGAGGGUCAAAGCAGCGAUGCGCCUGGAGAGGAGCCUGCGUACGAUUAGCUUGUUGGUGGGGUAAUGGCCCACCAAGGCGACGAUCGUUAACUGGUCUGAGAGGAUGAUCAGCCACACUGGGACUGAGACACGGCCCAGAAUCCUACGGGAGGCAGCAGUGGGGAAUAUUGGACAAUGGGCGCAAGCCUGAUCCAGCAAUGCCGCGUGAGUGAAGAAGGUCUUCGGAUUGUAAAGCUCUUUCGACGGGGACGAUGAUGACGGUACCCGUAGAAGAAGCCCGGCUAACUCGUGCCAGCAGCCGC